GCGGAAGUAGCUCACCUGGUAGAGCGACAGCUUCCCAAGCUGUAGGCAGCGGGUUCGAGUCCCGUCUUCCGCUCCU
rnacentral:tRNA from 1 species